rnacentral:sRNA from 1 species
CUUCUCCAAGAACUUCGGGCUCUACAGUGAGUGCUCUCCCAAGGAGUUACAGCCCCACCUCCUCGCAUCACUCCCCGCUUCGGCAGCCACAGCUGAUUCUGGUCCCUCUGUUUAGAUGAGAGAGUUGGGAAUCUGACUGUGGUUGGAAAAGAACCUGAGGGCAUCCUGCGAGUCCUUUCCCAGAUGGAGAAAAUUGUGCGGAUUACUUGGUCCAAUCCCCCUGCCCAGGGAGCACGAAUCGUGGCCAGCACCCUCUCUAACCCUGAGCUCUUUGAGGAAUGGACAGGUAAUGUGAAGACAAUGGCUGACCGGAUUCUGACCAUGAGAUCUGAACUCAGGGCACGACUGGAAGCCCUCAAAACCCCUGGGACCUGGAACCACAUCACUGAUCAAAUUGGCAUGUUCAGCUUCACCGGGUUGAACCCCAAGCAGGUUGAGUAUCUGAUCAAUGAAAAGCACAUCUACCUGCUGCCAAGUGGUCGAAUCAACGUGAGUGGCUUAACCACCAAAAAUCUAGAUUACGUGGCCACCUCCAUCCAUGAAGCAGUCACCAAAAUCCAGUGAAGAAACACCACCCGUCCAGUACCACCAAAGUAGUUCUCUGUCAUGUGUGUUCCCUGCCUGCACAAACCUACAUGUACAUAUG